rnacentral:rRNA from 1 species
CCUACGGGAGGCAGCAGUGAGGAAUAUUGGUCAAUGGACGAGAGUCUGAACCAGCCAAGUAGCGUGAAGGAUGACUGCCCUCUGGGUUGUAAACUUCUUUUAUAAAGGAAUAAAACGAGGCACGUGUGCCUUUUUGCAUGUACUUUAUGAAUAAGGAUCGGCUCACUCCGUGACAGCAGCCGCGGUAAUACGGAGGAUCCGAGCGUUAUCCGGAUUUAUUGGGUUUAAAGGGAGCGUAGAUGGGUUGUUAAGUCAGUUGUGAAAGUUUGCGGCUCAACCGUAAAAUUGCAAUUGAUACUGGUAGUCUUGAGUACAGUUGAGGUAGGCGGAAUUCGUGGUGUAGCGGUGAAAUGCUUAGAUAUCACGAAGAACACCGAUUGCGAAGGCAGCUUACUAAACUGUGACUGACAUUGAUGCUCGAAAGUGUGGGUAUCAAACAGGAUUAGAUACCCGAGUAGUC